UGGGGAAUAUUGCACAAUGGGCGCAAGCCUGAUGCAGCAACGCCGCGUGAGGGACGACGGCCUUCGGGUUGUAAACCUCUUUUGGCAGGGAAGAAGCGAAAGUGACGGUACCUGCAGAAAAAGCACCGGCUAACUACGUGCCAGCAGCCGCGGUGAUACGUAGGGUGCAAGCGUUGUCCGGAAUUAUUGGGCGUAAAGAGCUCGUAGGCGGUUUGUCGCGUCUGCUGUGAAAACCCGAGGCUCAACCUCGGGCCUGCAGUGGGUACGGGCAAACUAGAGUGCGGUAGGGGAGAUUGGAAUUCCUGGUGUAGCGGUGGAAUUCGCAGAUAUCAGGAGGAACACCGAUGGCGAAGGCAGAUCUCUGGGCCGUAACUGACGCUGAGGAGCGAAAGCAUGGGGAGCGAACA
rnacentral:rRNA from 1 species